UACGUAGGGGGCGAGCGUUGUCCGGAUUUAUUGGGCGUAAAGAGCGUGUAGGCGGUUCGGUAAGUCUGUCGUGAAAUCCUGAGGCUCAACCUUGGACGUGCGAUGGAUACUGCCGGGCUAGAGGAUGGUAGAGGCGAGUGGAAUUCCCGGUGUAGCGGUGAAAUGCGCAGAUAUCGGGAGGAACACCAGUAGCGAAGGCGGCCCGCUGGGCCAUUCCUGACGCUGAGACGCGAAAGCUAGGGGAGCGAACAGG
rnacentral:rRNA from 1 species